GGACCAAUAGGGCCUGCUGGACCUAAAGGAGAACUUGGAUUCCCAGGACGCCCAGUAUGUAUUAAGCUCUCAAAAUGAAUGAAGAGCAGCUCAUUUCUGACAUAUACUUUGUUAUUUCUACUAGUUUUUCUGCUUAUGUGUACUUAUUUCAGGGCCGCCCAGGACUGAAUGGGCUGAAAGGUGCGAAAGGUGAACAAGGUGAAGCAUUAAAUGGCAUUCCUGGUUUGCCAGGCCCUCCUGGACCCCCAGGACCUCCAGGACGUGUAGUUCACAUCAAAGGAGCAGUUUUCCCAGUCUCUCCUAGGCCUCAUUGCAAGAAUAUAGUAAGUAACACAAAUAAUCUGCUGUUAGCAAGAUGCAUGGCCAUGAUGAUGCGUAACCAAAGUAGUCACAUGCAUAACCACAGUAGAUCUGCAGCUUUUUACCCCAUGACUUCUGCUUUGCAGCAGAGAUCUGCUUUACUUAGCCUUCAAGGUAACAGAUUUUCAAGUCUUUAG
rnacentral:lncRNA from 1 species